CAGUAUUCUGACUGUGCGAAGGUAGCAUAAUCAUUUGUCUUUUAAUUAAAGGCUAGUAUGAAUGGUUGGACGAGGAAUUAACUUUCUUUAUUUAAAUUUUGUGAAUUUGAUUUUUGAGUCAAAAAGCUUAAAUUUUUUUGCAAGACGAGAAGACCCUAUAGAAUUUUAUUUUUAAUUUAAUGUUAGUUAUUUUGUUAUUUGAUUAAUUAAUAUUAAAUUAAAAAUUUUGUUGGGGCGACAAUGAAAAUU
rnacentral:rRNA from 1 species